UACGUAGGGCGCAAGCGUUGUCCGGAAUUAUUGGGCGUAAAGAGCUCGUAGGCGGCCAGUUGCGUCUGCUGUGAAAUCCCGGGGCUCAACCCCGGGCGUGCAGUGGAUACGGGCUGGCUAGAGGCAGGCAGGGGAGAACGGAAUUCCUGGUGUAGCGGUGAAAUGCGUAGAGAUCCGGAGGAACACCAAAGGCGAAGGCAGUGUCCUGGGGAGUACCUGACGCUCAGGUGCGAAAGCCAGGGGAGCGAACGGG
rnacentral:rRNA from 1 species